UGUCUGCAGGUGGGGCAGGGUGGGGCUGUGCCAGCUCUGGUGGCCCAGGAGCCGCCAGGAUCUGCCCUUGGCUCACGGGCCAGGGGUCCUGGAGGUGCAGCUCAGCUUUGGGCACUGGGUGAUGAUUUGGGAGCAGAGCCGAGUCCCUCGGGGGUUCCCUGCCUGCAGCCUCAGGUGCCUGCUGCAUCCAGGCAGGUUAUCCAUCUGCAGAGGCUCUGCAUUCCCUGGGAAAUGAGAUCCAGGGCAUUCCUGAGCUCAGCUGACCUGGAGGCUGCAGGGAGGAACCGGCUUCUCCCCCUGCUGUCCCAGAAGGGGGAUUUCCUUGUGCUCUGGCCCAGGGAUGUGCCUGCCAGUGCUGGGGACAGUGCUGACAGCAGGCUCAGGGCUCUGAGGUCUGGCUGUGCUGGAUCACACGCUGACCUUGGGGAGAGGAUGUUACACAACACACUGGUGUCCAGACCCCUGUGAGAUCCACACGGGAUCCACAUGGGAUGCCCAGGCCCUCGCGCCCCUCAGAGCAGCUGUUUCUGUGCCUUGGUGUGCCCAGGAAUGAUCCAGCCAUCCCAGUUUGGCACAGCUCCCUGAUUUUCCAGCACUAGGCAGGUGUCCCUUCACAAACUCUUCCUGUUGUCACUGACACUGGUAUGUCCCUGCCUUACAGGUGGUUCUGCUGAGGGUCCCCUGCUGGGGCAGGCUGUGUCAUUGCUGUCACACCUACUCUGACUUCACACUGCUGGAUGAGCAGUGAGGGAAGAGCAGAGGUGUCUGAGCUCCAGGAGCAGCAUGGCCUUGCCAGAACCUGUUGUAAUCUUCGCUGCAGUGUUGUUCUCGCCUCUCUGCUGGGGCUCUUCUCCCUUCUCUGCCACACACUCCUUCCUUUCUUCUCAGGGGCUCCUCCUGGGCUCUUGACCCACCCCUAUUUAUCUCAGUUACCUUCACGAGCUACAGCUGCUGCCCAGCUAAGGACCCUGCAGCUGCAGCUCGUUUGGAGCAACUCAGACCCACACAGGUCUUACAAUACAACAUAUAUUCAGGCCCCCACAUUGACACACACAGGUCUUACAAUACAACAUAUAUUCAGGCCCCCACAAGAACCUUGGGGAAUGGGGCACACAGGGGGUGGAGACCCUCCCAGUGCCACUGGAGGGACAGGGGACGGUGCCAGGAGAGACCAGAGCUGCGGCUCGUGGCCAUGAUUCCAGGUGGCCAGGAGGGCCCAGGGCUGUGCCAGGAGCACAGGGCAGUGACUGGACAGUCACUGUGCUGGCCCUGCCCAGGCUCCGUCUCCAGGGCUGGGUCCAGCUCGGGCCCCUCAGCUCAGGCAGGGCCCUGAGGGGCUGGAGAGUGUCCAGGAACGGAGCUGGGAAGGGAAUGGAGCCCCAGGAGAGGCUGAGGGAGCCGGGAAGGGGCUCAGGUGGAGAAAAGGAGGCUCGGGGGGGCCCUCUGGCUCUGCACAGCGCCUGACAAUGCUGCCAGAUGAAGAAUGGAUUGCACCUGGUGGGUUAAUACAAUGGUCUUUUAGGGAAAGCAUUAGACUAUGGAAGUGCACAAUCCAAAGCACAAUAAACAUUAACCAAGGAAAGGAGUGAGAAGCUCCACUCCACUGACUCCAAGCCUCACCAGUUACUGAGCUAGGCCAGCUCUGCCAGCCUUUCUCCUCUGGGCACAGCAGCACCAGUGCACCGAGUGCUCAGACACAGCUGGGGGGGUACUGGCCAAAGACACCCUGGGACAGGAGGACACGUGUGCCAUCGGGGCCACCAGAGACACCCCGGGACAGGAGCAGAGGGAACUUCUGGGCCAGGGCAGCUCAGGGUGGGCACAGCAGGAAUUUCCCCAUGGAAAGGGGGCUCAGGAGCUGCCUUGGCACUGCCCAGGGCGGGUUGGAGUGCCCAGCGCUGCAGGUGACACUCAGAGCUCUGGGCUGGGCACAAGGUGGGGAUGGGGCACAGCUGGGACUCCAUGGCCUGGGGGGGAUUUUCCAACCUGGAUGAGCCUGUGGGAGCUGUGGCCAGGGGGAAAUGCUGUGCUGGGGUCACCGUGCCUGGUGACACCCUGGGACAUGCACAGCCCUCAGCUCAGUGAGGUGUGGAAGAAUAGCUACGUGACAAAAACCACAUAAACAUACUCUAAAUAGCCAACCAAGAACUGGAAAAGAACCGGAGCCAGCCAAUCUGAGUCCCUGCAGCUGUAGGGACACUGUGGCCUUGAGCAUAGCUGUAUGACAGUAACAAGGUGCUGUGGUUGAGAGAGAGACAUGAGAAAAAGAAGAUGUAAGAUAUAAAGAAUGAGGAAGUAAGAGAGGAGCUGAUAAUUAUGGCAUAACCAUACACAAUAUGUAUGAGCUUAUGACUUGUUGUGCAUGAAUGUCUGAUGCUCUCAUCAAUAAACGAAGCUUGCUGAGCUCA